UAGUAAAUAGAUGGAAAACCUUUCAAAGUCAGCAUGAGUAUGGAUAAGCGCUUUAAAACAUAGGGCUAAACUACCAAGUUGUCCAACUUUUUAGGUGACCACGUUGAGAUGGAGUUCCCCAAUUUAAAAAAAUGUAGUUUCUGGAUUAAAACAUUAACAUCACCAUUUUCUCCCUCAACAAAAUCCGGAAAUGCAACAGUAUAUGAAAACUAGCUCUGAACAACUUGUCAAUCAUUUUUCAAAGGCUGGGUCAUAUUUAGGUUGAAUUUCAGAUUGCAGAAAGUCCUCACCUUGUGAUCACAGUAUUCCUAAAUUCAAAGUAUCAGACUCAUAGUAAAGUUGCAUUUUAAAUUGUACAAUAUUAUUGACUGUCUAGCUUCAUCACUUUGUGGUCACAUCUUGUAGGACUUCCUUUUACAAUAUAUAUUAAGCGGUCAUUUUAAAUAACCAAUGUAGCCUGUAGUCCAAUAAGCAGGGUGGUAACUGUACUUAGUAUACUUGGGCAGGAGAAGCAGAUAGAAUUCUCAAGUGUCUAACAAGAUCAUUGGAACCAAUGGCACUAAAAUGAAUGUUGUGUGAGCUCAUGAGGAAACUUCUAAACCCAAAGGGUUAACACAUUAUUCUGUGGUUUUCUUAAAGGAAAUCCAAUUUGAUAAAUUAUUAACUUCAACUGUUCAAGUUUCUCCUUUAAUAUAGUAAAAGUAAACCCAUAUAUUCUCUUAUUUCAACUAUAAAGACAAAGACUUUCUCAAGGACAUUUCAGUUCAAAUAAGGAUAAACAAACACAUCCUUCUCAAGUGAAAGCAUUUUAAUUUCUCUUUGUUUACAAAAGAGAAAUUUCUUACAACAUAAGAAUGCACACCAGUGGUAGAAUUCAAGAAAAUAUCAAUAUUUAAACUUGUCACAGGAUUCUAUUUCAUGAUUUCUCCAAAAUGGGGUUGACAUUGAGGAUGAAGAGUUUCUUCCUAUUCAGAACAAUGAAUGUUGUUUAGAGCUAUCACUUGAUAGAGGAAAAAGAAUACUAGAAAACACAGGCGGUGUUUAGUUCACUUUCUUAGCCUAUUUGGUGGCCCCAAUCACACAUCACCACACAGAAAAUGUUUGCAUCAAACUUAAGGUUAAUUAUAUUGCCUGAGCUCAAUCAUGAAAAGGGG
rnacentral:lncRNA from 1 species